GAUGUCUUGCCGAGUUUGACUGACAACUAACAACUAAUCCUUGUUUGCUUUCGCCCUCGUUGCGAUUCUUUUCUCUCGCCCUUCAGAUGAGAUACGUAGGCACAAGAUGCGAUGUCUUGCCGAGUUUGACUGACAACUAACAACUAAUCCUUGUUUGCUUUCGCCCUCGUUGCGAUUCUUUUCUCUCGCCCUCGUUGCGAUCGAGACCUUUCCUUUUUCUUGCCCUAGUUGC
rnacentral:lncRNA from 1 species